rnacentral:rRNA from 1 species
AUUGAACGCUGGCGGCAGGCCUAACACAUGCAAGUCGAACGAGUGGCGGACGGGUGAGUAAUGUCUGGGAAACUGCCCGAUGGAGGGGGAUAACUACUGGAAACGGUAGCUAAUACCGCAUACCAUCGGAUGUGCCCAGAUGGGAGGAGCUUGUAGGUGGGGGAACGGCUCACCUAGGCGACGAUCCCUAGCUGGUCUGAGAGGAGGACAAGCUACACUGGAACGGAGACACGGUCCAGACUCCUACGGGAGGCAGCAGUGGGGAAUAGUGCACAAGGGGCGCAAGCCUGAUGCAGCCAUGCCGAGGGUAUGAAGAAGGCCUUCGGGUUGUAAAGUACUGUCAGCGAGGAGGCGUUACGCGCAGAAGAAGCACCGGCUAACUCCGUGCCAGCAGCCGCGGUAAUAC